CGGCGGACGGGUGAGUAAUGCCUAGGAAUCUGCCUGGUAGUGGGGGACAACGUUUCGAAAGGAACGCUAAUACCGCAUACGUCCUACGGGAGAAAGCAGGGGACCUUCGGGCCUUGCGCUAUCAGAUGAGCCUAGGUCGGAUUAGCUAGUUGGUGAGGUAAUGGCUCACCAAGGCGACGAUCCGUAACUGGUCUGAGAGGAUGAUCAGUAACACUGGAACUGAGACACGGUCCAGACUCCUACGGGAGGCAGCAGAU
rnacentral:rRNA from 1 species